GCGAAGGUGGCGGAAUUGGUAGACGCGCUAGCUUCAGGUGUUAGUGUUCUUACGGACGUGGGGUUCAAGUCCCCCUCGCACCA
rnacentral:tRNA from 6 species